UUAAGAAAUAUUUACUCCUGAUACAGCUGUUAAUGAGAAUGAUGUUGAUGAUAACACCUAGCAACUAUUAGUAAAGAUGACCUAAUGGUUGCCUAAUGCCCAGCAAACCUGACUUUUAUUAUUAUUAUUAUUAUUUAUUUUUUAUUUUUUUUUUUUGUCUUUUUGCUAUUUCUUGGGCCGCUCCCGCGGCAUAUGGAGGGUCCCAGGCUAGGGGUCGAAUCNACGCCGGAUCGUUAACCCACUGAGCAAGGGCAGGGACCGAACCCGCAACCUCAUGGUUCCUAGUCGGAUUCGUUAACCACUGCGCCACGACGGGAACUCCAAACCUGACUUUUAAAUUCGAACACACCCCUGAGCCCUGGACGUUCCCCUCUUGCCAUUAUGACAUGUGGGGUGAAGGUGGGAGGAGGCCUCCGUCUGGCAGAGGCCCCUUUAAAAAUGUACCCGGGUUCCUCCUCUGCCAACCAAGUUCUAAAAAUAUUACUCCAGCAAAAGCUGAAAUAUUUGCAGAGAAAACUGAAUUUCCUGCUACCCUCACCCCCUCCACUCAAAUGGGUAAAAUCCUGACCUGAGAAGCCCCCAGAUCAGCUCCACCAAAGGCACAGCCUCCUACUUUCCACCCCCGCCUCACCAUGGAGUCCCUCUGUGGGCUUGAGCUGGGAUGUUAUGUUCAGACAGUACCCACUCCAGGGAGGGGAAGCCACAAGUAUUGGCAAAUAGCUUGCCAUGUGCCUUGGCUUUCCUCUCUGCUUACGAGGACCAACUCUCUCCAAAUCCCCUUCCAUCUGUCCCAAGAAGGAUCUGUAUUGGACCCCAGAAGCUUGCCACUAAUCCAUCUUUUAUCCUCUCUUUUGUCGAAUCAUCUCCUCCUUGGCUGGCCCUGCCUUCUAUCCUGUGCCCUCCAUCUCCGUGCUCCCUGCUGGGUCCACCACACCCACAGGCCCCAGCUCCCUCUCUAACCUGGCCCUCCCUGCCUUCCUCUCCCUUCCAGGCCUGCUGCCAUCCUUCUCCCUCAACUGUGGGGGCCAGCGAAGACAGAGGAGAUGUUUUGAAAUCUGAAGAGUCAAGGAGGAUAACUGCAGCACCGAAGGCCAGCAGGUUAACAGAGUGAGGUAGCCUGCUGCCCAAAGCAGCCUGGCCCAGCAUUCCACGGUGCUUCUGUCCCCUUUCCUUGUUCAUCUAUUCAAGAAUCAGAGGUUCAG
rnacentral:lncRNA from 1 species